UACGAAGGGGGCUAGCGUUGUUCGGAAUUACUGGGCGUAAAGCGCGCGCAGGCGGUUCUUCAAGUCAGUGGUGAAAGCCUGGAGCUCAACUCCAGAACUGCCAUUGAAACUGUUAGACUUGAGUACGAGAGAGGUGAGUGGAAUUCCCAGUGUAGAGGUGAAAUUCGUAGAUAUUGGGAAGAACACCAGUGGCGAAGGCGGCUCACUGGCUCGUAACUGACGCUCAGGCGCGACAGCGUGGGGAUCAAACAGG
rnacentral:rRNA from 1 species